rnacentral:snRNA from 1 species
AUGCUGGCUUCCAUAGCACUUAUACUAAAAUUGGAAUGAUACAGAGAAGAUUAGCAUGGCCC